UACGGAGGGUGCGAGCGUUAAUCGGAAUCACUGGGCGUAAAGGGUUCGCAGGCGGAAAUGCAAGUCAGAUGUAAAAGGCAGUAGCUUAACUACUGUAAGCAUUUGAAACUGCAUAUCUUGAGAAGAGUAGAGGUAAGUGGAAUUCCUAGUGUAGCGGUGAAAUGCUUAGAUAUUAGGAGGAAUACCAGUGGCGAAGGCGACUUGCUGGAAUCUAACUGACGCUGAGGUACGAAAGCGUGGGGAGCAAACAGG
rnacentral:rRNA from 1 species